GCCUCUGUAGCUCAGCGGUAGAGCGCCACCUUGGUAAGGUGGAGGUCGCGAGUUCAAUCCUCGCCAGAGGCU
rnacentral:tRNA from 2 species